ACGGAGGGUGCGAGCGUUGUUCGGAAUUAUUGGGCGUAAAGCGCGUGUAGGCGGUCUUUUAAGUCUGAUGUGAAAGGACUGGGCUCAAACCAGGAAGUGCAUUGGAAACUGGGAGACUUGAAUACGGGAGAGGGUAGUGGAAUUCCUAGUGUAGGAGUGAAAUCCGUAGAUAUUAGGUGGAACACCGGUGGCGAAGGCAGCUACCUGGACCGAUAUUGACGCUGAGACGCGAAAUCGUUGGGAGCAAAUAG
rnacentral:rRNA from 1 species